rfam:Drosophila ficusphila unplaced genomic scaffold scf7180000453824, whole genome shotgun sequence
CACUUAUAUAAUUUUGAUUGUUGCUCAGAAAGCCCUCAUUACUUAACAGCUGGCUUUCGAGCAAUAAUUGAAACCAAAUAAGUG